rnacentral:rRNA from 1 species
UUGGCUUAGAAGCAGCCAUCAUUUAAAGAGUGCGUAAUAGCUCACUAGUCGAGUGACACUGCGCCGAAAAUGUACCGGGGCUAAACAUAUUACCGAAGCUGUGGAUUGUCCUUUGGACAAUGGUAGGAGAGCGUUCUAAGGGCGUUGAAGCAUGAUCGUAAGGACAUGUGGAGCGCUUAGAAGUGAGAAUGCCGGUGUGAGUAGCGAAAGACGGGUGAGAAUCCCGUCCACCGAUUGACUAAGGUUUCCAGAGGAAGGCUCGUCCGCUCUGGGUUAGUCGGGUCCUAAGCUGAGGCCGACAGGCGUAGGCGAUGGAUAACAGGUUGAUAUUCCUGUACCACCUAUAAUCGUUUUAAUCGAUGGGGGGACGCAGUAGGAUAGGCGAAGCGUGCGAUUGGAUUGCACGUCUAAGCAGUAAGGCUGAGUAUUAGGCA